rfam:Stegodyphus mimosarum contig90026, whole genome shotgun sequence.
GCCUUCGUGGUGUAGCGGUCAGCACGCUCGACGCGUAACCCAGAGGUCCGAGGUUAGAUUCCCGGCUAAGGCG